GGGUUUGUUAAGGUGAAAAAGGGGUGUGAUAGCUUUGGUGACUCUGUUGGGAAGUUUCAGGUUCGAGCUGGUACUUUAUCUUGUUGGCUUUUUAAAAUAUUCUGUUGAGUUUUUUAUGUUUUAUUUGGUUUAUUUGUUUUUAUUUAUUUAUUUUUGUUUAUGUUGUUUUAUUAUUUGCUAGUUGUUUACGUGUUUACAGUUUUUCCUUUAUGUGUUACUGCUUUAUAACUGUCAUCAUUUUUAUUACCUGGUCAAUUCUUUCUGCAAUACGUCUCGUAGUACGCGUCGCGUACACGAAUACUUUGUUGAGUCACCUCUAUUUUAGGAGGGGGCCGUCAGACGUAUGGAGUGGGUGGAAAGCUUGAGCAGUCACCAUCGACCAUACGCUCCCCCGAACUGCCUUUUCUAGUGAACUCCAAAACUUAGGUCAAAGGUCAUGCUUAUUUGCAUCAUAUCAUUGUGACUUAAUAGGGCUCGGUCCUAGGUACCGUGUUCCUUCAUAGGAAGCCUGUCCAAAUUGUGUCAAGUGGGCCCAUGGCCCAAAAGGACAUUCAAUCAUCCCUAUGUGAUACAUGUUGCAUCUUUGAGGGUAGAAAGGUCAUUUGGCGGAAUGAUGUUUGGGAAAGAAGGUUGAAAUUGAAGCAAGUAGGGCCCUGUUAUAUUUUUCUUUCACAACUUUUUCAAGAAAAGACCAAAAAAAAAAUCAAAAAGGUAUUGCACUUUCCCAUCAUUUUUGUAAAUGAAGCAAGUAGGGCCCAGUGAAACUAUUUUUGUAUAUUCAAAUGUUAUAAUAAAGUAAAAUAAACUACGCUUGGUCUGAUUCAUGUGGAACAUGAUACGUAGGCGACCUACAUCGGGUUCGAUCGAAUCAAUUUAGAAAUUAAUUGGAAAAAAAGAAAAGAAAGAAAAAUGAAAAAAAUAGAUGAAGUCGUGGGAUGUGAAAAAUGAGAGGAAACUACGGGAUAUAAGAAAAGUGUGAUAAUCAGAAAGAAAAGAGAGGGAAGAAAUGAGCAAAUCAAGGAGCGUAAGAGAGGAAACGAAGAAGAAAAGGGCAAUGAAAGUAAAAUUGGGAUGAUGCCAUAUGACCUUCAUAGCCUCGGAGUCAUUUUAGAACCGAUAACUGUGACUAGGUGCAUUGCACAUAAUGUGAUAUUAUCUUAUGUUAAAUGCCCUAACGCUAACAUGAUGACUUCAUUUUGUUCCUCUUUGUUAUAUUCAUUAUUGAGAAAGGUGGUUGGUUUGUGGUUCUUAAAUUGGUAACUCUUUCCUACAACAUAAAGUCGAAUUCAAUGACAGCCGACAACAGAGUUGAGUUGGUGGAUAUUGGUACACGAAAGCAAUUGGUUGAACAGGACAUGGGGUUGGUUGAAGAGGUAAGGAUUUUGAGACAACAUAUGGCGGACAUGUAUCAGGUUUGGAUGACUGGGAAGACACCACCCCCGCCACCACCUAGCUUCCUAGAUGCUACCCUUACCCAAGCUCCGGUCAUAGUGUCAAAUGAUCCACCAUAUUCUCCUGAUUUUCCCGCUAAUCACAGCUUUCCUAACCUCCCUAGUAGCUCCAUCGUUCGUCCUCCAACUACCUUUCCCAAAAAUAGCCCUUCUGAUGUUGUUGAGCCUCCAAUGACAAGUCCUAGUGGGCGUUCCUGCUCAACGCUUUCAGCCUCAACAUCAACCCCAUGAAUAUCUCCGUACUCCAGAUAAUCCUCCCCGAUGCUACUUCUCUCCACAAAAUUCCCAAAGUCAUACCUCACCUUCCCACUACUCUAUCCAUAAUGCAUUGCCAUAUGCUCCACAUCCACAGGACUCGCAUUGGCCUACACCACUUCCACAAAUAUUUUACUCGCCUCCUCAUGCAUGUUAACCACCUACCCGCAAGAGGUUCCAACCGAGGCCAGAGUACAAAAUGAAAAGGCAGCAGCAAAGAGAAAAGUCUUUCACUCCUAUUAGAGAAUCAUAUGCUAGUUUGUUCCAAAGGUUGAGGCAAUUGGACAUGUUGAAGCCAAUUCAGAUAAAAAUGCCGAACCCCCUUCCAAAGAAUUUUGAUUAUUUCCAAAGGUGCGCAUAUUGCUCUAAUGCCCCCGGCACAAUAUAGAAAAGUGUUGGCAUCUGAAAAGAGCAGUCCAGAAGCUUAUUGAUGCAGGUGACAUUACCGUGCAAAAUCCAGAUACAACGGAUACUAGCCAAAGUCAUUUGCUUGUUCAUAAUGAGACACAUAUGGUGGCAUGAUUUGUGUUGAAAAGGAAUGUGAGAACUCUUCUGAAUCCCUUGGAGGGCCACUUACCGCAAAGUUUUCAGCGCUAUCAGUCUCGGUUCCAGAAGUUGAUCUUAAAACGAGUUGGCAAAAGAGACCCAAAAGCUAUUUGCUAAGGUCAACGUGAUCGAAACUUGUGAAGGUUCUGGUAAUGUCGAUGUGCGACUUAGUGGCUAAGAUGUCGAGCUAGGUAAUUGGAAAGAUACUCUUUUCUUGGCUAGCCAGGGAGGAGUUUUGGUGGUUGAUUUUGUUGUCAUUUCUGUUUGUCCGGGUUAUUUUAGGGUCGUAAUCCGGAUAUUGUCUUGUGGCUCAAACCCUUCUUCCUCAUAUUUUUCCUAGUUCGUUUAGUUAUAGUAACUCGUCUAGUGUAAUCUAGGAUCGUUCCAGGGUUGUAACCCAUGUCUAUUUUUGUCGUUUUGUUUUUCAAACCCUUACACCGUCUGUCUAAUGCAAUCUCAUAUUUUCUGUUAUUUCUAGUUAUUUUUGUUUAGUUCUCUUUUCCUUUUAUAGUUUUUUUCAUGCCGACUCUAGUGACAUGAUUUGCACGCGGAAUUCUCAGCCUGGUGUUGAAAAAGCCUAAUCAGGAAGCAAUGAAAUAAGUUUUGAAGAUGAUAGGGACAUUUGAGGGAAAGAAGUAAAGAUUUGAACAUUUUGAGAUCAUUUAAAUCCCGAAUUGUAUGAAACUGGGCAGAUAGUUUGGGAAGUUAAUAGGAAGACAAAGAUUUGGUAUAAGAGAGUGCGUCCUAGAAUUUUUGAAGCAAGCAACUUUGAGUUCAAGUGCAUCUCAGGUUACAAUAUAAAGCCAAGGGAGUUUGUCCCAAACUGACGGAGGGUAUUCAUUGUGAAGAAGAUAUAACCCAAUGAGAGUUCUGUACUUGACACGACACUAAAGAAAGAUGGAAGGCAUAUCUGGGAUAUAAAUACCGAUGCUACAAAAGAAAUGUUGUGCAUGAUCUUCAUUUUUCAUCCUCAAGUUGCAUGUGUCGUACUUGGCAUUUUCAGAGAUUGGGAGGCCCUCUUUCAAUUACCCAAAUACUUUAUAUCCUUCGGUACCCUUUUGAGCAUGUGCUGAUCUCUUUGACUUUCCCUCCUUUGGAAUCAAGUUAGAGUCAUAAAAAAGAAAAAAGAAAAAAAGAAGAAGAAGUUUGUAUCCCCGUAGGUUUGUUUCAUAAUCCCACGAAGUCAAGAGUGGGGCAAAUUUUGUAGAAAUUCCAUAUAAAAAAAAGGAAGAGGUUCAAAUUCUCUUGUUUUAUAAACCGGGGCAAAGUUUUAAAAUACAUUCCAAAAGUUGUAAAUAAAUUAUCCAUUUUAUCUUAGUUUGAAUUUGAGCCUUCAUGCCUUUCUUUCUUUCUUUCUAAUCCUGUCCAAAAGUCACAUUAAAGUCCAAAAAAGACCUCCUAUAUGAUCUUUGAGAGUGCCGAGUUAGACAUGCCAGGAGCAUAUGAUAUUUUUACCAUGGUUAAUGCUUUGUCAUCUGCAGAAUCAGAGGAAAUAAGAAGAAAAGAAGAAAAUGAGAGAGUCUUAUCGGUGAAAACCCUCACGGGCACCAUAAGGAGACGGUGAGUUGAGAGAAAGAACAAAAUGAGAGAGGCUUGAUAGUAAAAACCCUUCAGGGCACUACAAGUCGACUGAGGAUCGUGAAUUAGAUAGGACAAUUGGAGCAUUGAAACCUAGUUUCACAGCUUAGAGGUAUGACAAGAAUGGAAGAUUAGACUUGCUUGACAGAUCAUGCCACUUAUUCCAAGAUGCACGCCAUGAUCAUUAGAGUUGGUGUUACAUCAGAAAACUUUCUACUUUGUAAUUCUUUUGUUAGAUGUCAUAUCUUUCCAUUGUCCCGUUACUUUGUUCUUCUUGCUUUGUUUAAGUCCUCUUUUUGAGUCUGCUCUGUCAGAACAAGUGAGAAAUGACUUCAAAAUUUGCUACCAGCUUUCCAAUUGCACAAAGCGAAGUGUGACUAGCACAUCAAAGUGGAAUAAGUCAGGGAAAAGUGGCAUUCGUACUGAGUUGAUAACAAUUGAAGUGCUUUGAGAUUCAUGUAAAAUGCAAAGGUUCGGUAAAUGUCAAUUCAUGGGUACAAUGCAAUAGAUAGAGGAUUUGGGCUUGAACGGAUCAUAGGUAUUUUCUGUGAUAAGGGUGACAGAGAAAGUGGUUAGCCAAUAACAAUCAAGGUCUUCCAAGUUGAAAUCAAAGUUAUCAUGGCAAGUGUAGGAGCAAUCACCCUCAAGAUCAAGGCCACAAACCAACCACUAUGUUUUAAACUCACAAGUCUUUUUUGCUUGAAGCAGGGACGAAGACUAUGUCCAAAUCAAAGAUUGGAAGUUGGAAUUUUUCAGGUAUCGUGCCCAAAUUUUGUGAGCACAAAGGAUGUUUGAGAUGGUUUUUACCUAGUUGAGAGGAUCAUACCUCCUAGGCAUUCUCCCUAGUCGGAAGAAUUUAUAGUUUUUCUUAAGUUCAGGGGUCCCGCCUGGAGAAUAGGGUCAAUUGUUAGUUUCCUUAAGUUUUAAUCUUUAGUUUUUUGAGUUCAGGGGUCCCGCCUAGAAAAUAUGGUCAAUUUUUAGUUUAGUCAAGCUCAGUUUAUAGUUUUCCUCAAGCUCAACCUCAAAUAUAGGAGAUGCACUUCCUAGUUUGGGUUUUUCAGAUUCUAUUUCUUUAGGAAGUGCACUUCCUAAUUUUAUGUUAAAGGCUUCAUCCCUAGGAGACGCACUUCCUAGUGUGAGUCAUUUAAGUUCAUCCCUAGGAGACGCACUUCCUAGUUUGAGUAAUUUAAGUUCACCCCUAGUAGACUCACUUCCUAAUCUGGAUCUUUCAGGUUAUUCUUUUAGGAGACGUACUUUCUAGUCUGGGUCAUUCAGGUUUUAUUUUAGCAGGCGCAUUUGCAAGUCAAAUUUUCUUGGUUUUACUCACAGGAGACGCACAUCCUAGUCGAGUCUUUAGUUUUACUCUCAUCAUUGCAUCAAUAGCAUAGGUGUUUUACAGUUUUGCUAACAACUCACAAAUCUUCCUAGUGCAAACUGGGGCAGAAAAUUUUGUUUGUUGUGUUGUUUUAAUUGCAGGCACCCACUUGAAAAAUGAGGGGAAAUAUUUCAGAAAUCAAUUUUAGGUUCAAGUCAUUGGCAGGCGCCCUCCUGGAGAACGAGGAAAUUUAUUUCAAUUUUUAAGUCAUCAGGCGCCCACCUAGAGAAUGCGGAAAUUUAUUUUAAGUUUUAAGUCAUCACGCGUCCACCUGGAGAACGAGGGAAUAUAUUUCAAGUUUUAAGUCAUUAGGCGCCCACCU
rnacentral:lncRNA from 1 species